UUCCGGUUGAUCCUGCCAGAGGCUACUGCUAUCGGGGUUCGAUUAAGCCAUGCGAGUUAAAUGUUCUUCGUGAACAUAGCGAACUGCUCAGUAACACGUGGAUAACCUACCCUUAGGACCGGAAUAACCCCGGGAAACUGGGGAUAAUACCGGAUAAGCCAUAGACGCUGGAAUGCCCUAUGGUUCAAAGCUCCGGCGCCUAAGGAUGGAUCUGCGGUCUAUCAGGUUGUAGUGGGUGUAACGUACCUACUAGCCGACGACGGAUACGGGUUGUGAGAGCAAGAGCCCGGAGAUGGAUUCUGAGACACGAAUCCAGGCCCUACGGGGUGCAGCAGGCGCGAACACUUUACAAUGCGGGAAACCGCGAUAAGGGAACCCCGAGUGCCAGCACCAAGUGUUGGCUGUCCGGAUGAUUAAAAAUCAUUUGUUAGCAAGGGCCGGGCAAGACCGGUGCCAGCCGCCGCGGUAACACCGGCGGCCCGAGUGGUAGCCGUUUUUAUUGGGUCUAAAGGGUCCGUAGCCGGCUUGAUAAGUCUUUUGGGAAAUCUGCAGCUUAACUGUCAGGCUUCUAAGGGAUACUGUCAGGCUUGGACCGGAAGAGUAAGGGGUACUCCAGGGUUAGGAGUGAAAUCUUGUAAUCCCUGGGGGACCAUCUGUGGCGAAGGCGCCUUACCAGAACGGGUCCGACGGUGAGGGACGAAAGCUAGGGGAGCCAACCGGAUUAGAUACCCGGGUAGUCCUAGCUGUAAACGAUGCUCGCUAGGUGUCAGACACGGUGCGACCGUGUUUGGUGCCGCAGGGAAGCCGUUAAGCGAGCCACCUGGGAAGUACGGUCGCAAGGCUGAAACUUAAAGGAAUUGGCGGG
rnacentral:rRNA from 1 species